rnacentral:lncRNA from 13 species
UGGAUUGCUCCACCAAAUCGCGCUCCGUUUGCUCCAUUUUUACAAUGUGCUUGACUGCAUAGACUGAUGGGAUGCAUCGCGAUCUUGUCAUUUUAUAAUGACACCAUCACUUUAAAUGUUAUUCACAGUGUAUCAUAGUUUGAUACAUGUCUAAAGUCUUCUUAGCUGUCAUAAAUCAGCGCUUGUAAGAUUCACAUGUAUAUUUGAUAUCACUGACUUUGUAAAAUUAUUAAAUGAUCUCAUCGUGAUAUCAAAUUACUUUUAAACGAGUCACAGCAGGCGUUCGCUAAAAAAUACAAAACUGUCACAUUUGCUCCAUGACUUCAUCGUAAUGUCAAAUUAUAUUCAAACGUGUGUCUAAAUUAAUUUUAUAGAUCUGUGAUAUCAGCGCCUAUGAUAUCAUCACAGCUGCUGUACUCUGACGCAUGCUUUUAUGCUGAAAAUGCAAAUCUGCAAUACUAUAUGAUUUCAUUGUAAUAUUAAAUUACAUUCAAACGUGUCUAAAACUGAGUUUUACUAUCCUGCGAUCUCAUCACAUCUGUCAACGCUUGCAAGAUUUACGUUUGAAUAUGUGUAUGAUCUCAUCAUAAAAUAUGUAAUUUCCACAUUUGAUGUCGAUAUGGUGGUGGGGAUUAUAAAAUAAAAAGAACUUUAAAAACGUUACUCUCAUCAGUUGCUCAUUGUUAGCGGACAACUCUUGAAAAAUACGAGAGAAAUGGCGAACUACUACGUUCCAAUCCAAACCGAAGCAUGCGAGAAAUCAACAUUGCCACACACAUCAAUGAACUACUAUAUUCCGAUCCAGACCGAAGCAUGUGAGAAAUCAACGCCACCACGAUACACAUCACACAUUUUGGGGA